rnacentral:rRNA from 3 species
GGUCAAGUGACUAAGUGCAUGU